GCCGGUCCUCGGUAGUGGCUCCCGGGAGGUUUCCCGAGGCUUCGAUCGAUGGCCGGC
rfam:Saccharomonospora sp. CTA-673 NODE_9_length_177644_cov_208.809_ID_17, whole genome shotgun sequence.